AACGAACGCUGGCGGCAGGCCUAAACCAUGCAAGUCGAACGAUCUAGCAAUAGAUAGAGGCGCACGGGUGCGUAACGCGUGGGAAUAUGCCCUUCACUACGGAACAACGUCGGGAAACUGACGCUAAUACCGUAUAAUGACUCCGGUCCAAAGAUUUAUCGGUGAAGGAUUAGCCCGCGUCUGAUUAGGUAGUUGGUGAGGUAAUGGCUCACCAAGCCGACGAUCAGUAGCUGGUCUGAGAGGAUGAUCAGCCACACUGGGACUGAGACACGGCCCAGUCUCCUACGGGAGGCAGCAGUUAGGAAUAUUGGACAAUGGGGGAAACCCUGAUCCAGCCAUGCCGCGUGUGUGAAGAAGGCCUUAGGGUUGUAAAACACUUUCGGCUGUGAAGAUACUGACAGUAGCAGAAGAAGAAGCUCCGGCUAAAUUCGUGCCAGCCGCCGCAGUAA
rnacentral:rRNA from 1 species